rnacentral:rRNA from 1 species
UUGCACCGGGGAUUAGUGGCGAACGGGUGAGUAACACGUGAGUAACCUGCCCUGGACUCUGGGAUAACCCCGAGAAAUCGGAGCUAAUACCGGAUAGGACCUGGAACCGCAUGGUUUUGGGUGGAAAGUUUUUCGGUCUGGGAUGGACUCGCGGCCUAUCAGCUUGUUGGUGAGGUAAUGGCUCACCAAGGCGUCGACGGGUAGCCGGCCUGAGAGGGUGACCGGCCACACUGGGACUGAGACACGGCCCAGACUCCUACGGGAGGCAGCAGUGGGGAAUAUUGCACAAUGGGCGCAAGCCUGAUGCAGCAACGCCGCGUGAGGGAUGACGGCCUUCGGGUUGUAAACCUCUUUUAGUAAGGAAGAAGGGGAGCUUGCUCCUUGACGGUACUUGCAGAAAAAGCACCGGCUAACUACGUGCCAGCAGCCGCGGUAAUACGUAGGGUGCGAGCGUUGUCCGGAAUUAUUGGGCGUAAAGAGCUCGUAGGCGGUUUGUCACGUCUGCUGUGAAAUCCCGAGGCUCAACCUCGGGCCUGCAGUGGGUACGGGCAGACUGGAGUGCGGUAGGGGAGAUUGGAAUUCCUGGUGUAGCGGUGGAAUGCGCAGAUAUCAGGAGGAACACCGAUGGCGAAGGCAGAUCUCUGGGCCGUAACUGACGCUGAGGAGCGAAAGCGUGGGGAGCGAACAGGAUUAGAUACCCUGGUAGUCCACGCCGUAAACGUUGGGCGCUAGAUGUGGGGACCUUUCCACGGUUUCCGUGUCGUAGCUAACGCAUUAAGCGCCCCGCCUGGGGAGUACGGCCGCAAGGCUAAAACUCAAAGGAAUUGACGGGGGCCCGCAUGCGGAUUAAUUCGAUGCAACGCGAAGAACCUUACCAAGGCUUGACAUAACCGAGAACGCCGCAGAAAUGUGGAACUCUUUGGACACUCGGUUACAGGUGGUGCAUGGUUGUCGUCAGCUCGUGUCGUGAGAUGUUGGGUUAAGUCCCGCAACGAGCGCAACCCUCGUCGUAUGUUGCCAGCACGUAAUGGUGGGAACUCAUAUGAGACUGCCGGGGUCAACUCGGAGGAAGGUGGGGAUGACGUCAAAUCAUCAUGCCCCUUAUGUCUUGGGCUUCACGCAUGCUACAAUGGCCGGUACAAAGGGUUGCGAUGUCGUAAGGCGGAGCGAAUCCCAAAAAGCCGGUCUCAGUUCGGAUUGAGGUCUGCAACUCGACCUCAUGAAGUCGGAGUCGCUAGUAAUCGCAGAUCAGCAACGCUGCGGUGAAUACGUUCCCGGGCCUUGUACACACCGCCCGUCAAGUCA